rnacentral:rRNA from 1 species
AUACGAAGGGGGCUAGCGUUGUUCGGAAUUACUGGGCGUAAAGCGCGCGUAGGCGGAUUGGUCAGUUAGGGGUGAAAUCCCAGGGCUUAACCCUGGAACUGCCUCUAAUACUGCCAGUCUUGAGUUCGGGAGAGGUGAGUGGAAUUCCUAGUGUAGAGGUGAAAUGCGUAGAUAUUAGGAAGAACACCAGUGGCGAAGGCGGCUCACUGGCCCGAUACUGACGCUGAGGCGCGAAAGCGUGGGGAGCAAACAGGAUUAGAUACCCUAGUAGUCC